UGAGUGCGAGCGGCUACUGCCGCGAAGUGGGUGAUGUCAAGCUUCCAAGAAAAGCCCUAUACCCGUUAAGGCAUGAUGGCCUGUACCCGAAACCGACACAGGUGGGGUGGUAGAGAAUACCGAGGGGCGCGAGGUAACUCUCUCUAAGGAACUCGGCAAAAUGGCCCCGUAACUUCGGGAGAAGGGGUGCCACCGCAAGGUGGUCGCAGUGAAGAGGCCCAGGCGACUGUUUACCAAAAACACAGGUCUCCGCUAAGUCGCAAGACGAUGUAUGGGGGCUGACGCCUGCCCAGUGCCGGAAGGUUAAGGAAGCUGGUCAGCGCAAGCGAAGCUGGCGACUGAAGCCCCGGUGAACGGCGGCCGUAACAAUAACGGUCCUAAGGUAGCGAAAUUCCUUGUCGGGUAAGUUCCGACCCGCACGAAAGGCGUAACGAUCUGGGCGCUGUCUCGGAGAGAGGCUCGGCGAAAUAGAAUUGUCUGUGAAGAUGCGGACUACGUGCACCCGGACAGAAAGACCCUAUGAAGCUUUACUGUAGCUUGGUAUUGUGCCCGGGCUCUGAAUGCGCAGGAUAGGUGGGAGGCUUUGAUCCAUGGCUUGCGGGUCAUGGUGAGCCAACGGUGAGAUACCACUCUUUCAGAGCUAGGGUUCUAACGGUCACCCGUCAUCCGGGGACCGGACAGUAUCAGGUGGGCAGUUUGACUGGGGCGGUCGCCUCCUAAAAGGUAACGGAGGCGCGCAAAGGUUUUGCUCAGGCUGGUUUGAGAUCAGCCGACGAGUGCAAAAGCAGGAGCAAGCUUGACUGUGAGACCUACAAGUCGAACAGGGACGAAAGUCGGCUUUAGUGAUCCGACGGUUCUGAGUGGAAGGGCCGUCGCUCAACGGAUAAAAGUUACUCUAGGAUAACAGGCUGAUCUCCCCCAAGAGUUCACAUCGACGGGGAGGUUUGGCACCUCGAUGUCGGCUCAUCGCAACCUGGGGCUGAAGUCGGUCCCAAGGGUUGGGCUGUUCGCCCAUUAAAGCGGUACGCGAGCUGGGUUCAGAACGUCGUGAGACAGUUCGGUCCAUAUCCGGUGCACGCGCAGGAACAUUGAGAGGAUUUCUCCCUAGUACGAGAGGACCGGGAGGAACGCACCUCUGGUGUGCCAGUUAUCGUGCCAACGGUAAACGCUGGGUAGCCAUGUGCGGAGUGGAUAACCGCUGAAAGCAUCUAAGUGGGAAGCCCACCUCAAGAUGAGUGUUCCCAUGGCAUAAGCCAGUAAGGUCACGGGAAGAACACCCGUUGAUAGGCUCUACGUGGAAGCCGGGUAACCGGUGAAGCGGAGGAGUACUAAUAGACCGAGGGCUUGACC
rnacentral:rRNA from 1 species